rnacentral:rRNA from 1 species
UACGGAGGGUGCAAGCGUUAUCCGGAUUCACUGGGUUUAAAGGGUGCGUAGGUGGGCAGGUAAGUCCGUGGUGAAAUCUCUGAGCUUAACUCAGAAACUGCCGUGGAUACUAUUUGUCUUGAAUAUUGUGGAGGUGAGCGGAAUAUGUCAUGUAGCGGUGAAAUGCUUAGAUAUGACAUAGAAUACCAAUUGCGAAGGCAGCUCACUACACAAUUAUUGACGCUGAGGCACGAAAGCGUGGGGAUCAAACAGG